rnacentral:lncRNA from 1 species
AUGUUAGUUACCAUUUGCACAAUGUCUUCUUGUUACACAGGACAGCCUAAUUCAAUGAAGGAAGGGAAUACACAAGAGCAUGGACACCAGGAGAUAAUGCUCAUUGGAGGCCAUCUUUUGAGACUGCCUACCACAGUUUGGAAGGAUGAAAAAAACAAAGAAAGAAAAAGUAUCUUAAUAUCCAUUGAUAAAGUACUGGACAGUGUCCAUUCGUUUCCUCUAAAACCAAUGGGAAAUUAGCAUACUUUCACUUCCUGCCCUGUAACUCUGGCCACAGGUAAGAAGCCAAGCUUUAUGGUUAUUAUAUUCUUUCUUUGGUUUAUCAAGACAUUCUGCUUUCUUCUCCACUUUCAUUUUUAGUCCAUCAAAUUGUAAAAACACAUACACUAUUUGAACGAGCAAUUCUUCAAUUACAAGCUGCUGAUUUUUUUAGGCCCAAAAUGUGCUUUUUUGUGAAAUACCCACAUAAUUAAUUUAUUGUAGACAUAAUGAAAUUACACACAAACAGAGCUUUUGAAAUGAUAAAAAUGUUUUCUUACCUUUCUUCACCGAAUCACACAUACCCCCUGGGGUAUUAGACUCUAAAUUGAAUACACAAAUUUAGAUGAAGAGUCCUCAAUCUUUUUAGAAUUGUGUAUCCUCUGAGAGUCAAAUUAACAUAAUUCACUCUCAGACAAAAAUGUUCACAUUUUCUCAGGCAACUCACAGUUCAGAGACGGCCCGGGAACUCAGAUGCGAAGCACCUUACUUUAGACAUCCAACAUUACUGGAAUUGUAGACACUACCAACUUCAGAAUCUCUCAAUCAUAAAGUGAGAUAUGAAACAUGGUGGAGACAUUUGACAAGACAUAAACAGCAUAGUCAAAUUAGCCAUGCUUGAUUAAAUAUGUAACGACUCAUUUAUAUAAUCUGUCCAACAACAGCAGAGUUCAACAAAAGCCAGAUUUCAGAUAAUUCUCUCAUUUCACUCCUUCUUUGCCUCUCCUCUUUUUCUGUCCUGUUCUCUACUUCUCUCUUGUUUCUCCUUCUUCCUCCCAGGACUUUUUAUUCUCCCUCCUUCUUCCUCGCUUUACUUUACUUUCUCCUCCUCCGUUCCUCACCAAAAAACAAACAAAAAACCCCUGCAGAUUAGAUUUUCUGCUCCACCUACUGGUUCUUUCAAGAAUGUCAUAUUCUUGAGGAACUGGAGACACUACCUGGUAUGUUAAUGGCAAUAAUUUUAUCAUCUAAAUUUUAGUAU